UCCCUAUGAAGAAACAUUCACAGGUCUUACCUCCUGUCCUAGUCCCAGAGCCUGUAAAGGUGAACCCACUGGGGCUUGCUGGGGGAGAAGAGGAAGACUUGUUCCAGAAGGAACUGUCUGAGGGAA
rnacentral:snoRNA from 1 species